CAGGCAGAUCCCAGUCUCUCCUCCUCCAGUGGUUCAAACUGGAGUAUUGUUGUUGGUGAUAAGAUGGUUAGCUUGUUUUGAUCGGAGUUAUCAAACCAUACUGCUGCUUCUUCACUUUGGUCAUCUCAGAAAGUGUGGAUUUCUUCAUGCUGGAAAAAUGAGCCAGAUCCAGAGCUGAUCCGCGCCACAGUGGAGAACAGUAUCCUGCCUCGUGACGAGCUUCUUCGACAGCAUAUCAAGGCAAAGAAGAGAUAAAAGCAGCUGGUCUGACAUCUUCCACAGA